rnacentral:rRNA from 1 species
UAGGGAAUCUUCGGCAAUGGACGGAAGUCUGACCGAGCAACGCCGCGUGAGUGAAGAAAGUUUUCGGAUCGUAAAGCUCUGUUGUAAGAGAAGAACGAGUGUGAGAGUGGAAAGUUCACACUGUGGCGGUAUCUUACCAGAAAGGGACGGCUAACUACGUGCCAGCAGCCGCGGUAAUACGUAGNGGUUCCGAGCGUUGUCCCGAUUUAUUUGGCGUAAAGCGAGCGCAGGCGGUUAGAUAAGUUUGUAAGUAAAGGCUGUGGCUUAACCAUAGUUAGGCUUUGGAAACUGUUUAACUUGAGUGCAAGAGGGGAGAGUGGAAUUCCAUGUGUAGCGGUGAAAUGCGUAGAUAUAUGGAGGAACACCGGUGGCGAAAACCGGCUCUUNGGCUUUUACUGAACGUGAGGNUCGAAAGCGUGGGGAGCAAACAGGAUUAGAUACCCUGGUAGUCCACGCUGUAAACGAUGAGUGCUAGGUGUUAGACCCUUUCCGGGGUUUAGUGCCGUAGCUAACGCAUUAAGCACUCCGCCUGGGGAGUACGACCGCAAGGUUG